rnacentral:rRNA from 1 species
AGUUUGAUCCUGGCUCAGGACGAACGCUGGCGGCGUGCUUAACACAUGCAAGUCGAACGAUGAAGCCUUUCGGGGUGGAUUAGUGGCGAACGGGUGAGUAACACGUGGGCAAUCUGCCCUUCACUCUGGGACAAGCCCUGGAAACGGGGUCUAAUACCGGAUAAUACUUUCUCUCUCAUGGGGGAAGGUUAAAAGCUCCGGCGGUGAAGGAUGAGCCCGCGGCCUAUCAGCUAGUUGGUGGGGUAAUGGCCUACCAAGGCGACGACGGGUAGCCGGCCUGAGAGGGCGACCGGCCACACUGGGACUGAGACACGGCCCAGACUCCUACGGGAGGCAGCAGUGGGGAAUAUUGCACAAUGGGCGAAAGCCUGAUGCAGCGACGCCGCGUGAGGGAUGACGGCCUUCGGGUUGUAAACCUCUUUCAGCAGGGAAGAAGCGAAAGUGACGGUACCUGCAGAAGAAGCGCCGGCUAACUACGUGCCAGCAGCCGCGGUAAUACGUAGGGCGCAAGCGUUGUCCGGAAUUAUUGGGCGUAAAGAGCUCGUAGGCGGCUUGUUGCGUCGGUUGUGAAAGCCCGGGGCUUAACCCCGGUCUGCAGUCGAUACGGGCAGGCUAGAGUGUGGUAGGGGAGAUGGAAUCCUGUGUACGGUAAAUGCGCAGAUAUCAGGAGGAACACCGGG